GAUGAAGAACGUAGCGAAAUGCGAUAAGUAAUGUGAAUUGCAGAAUUCAGUGAAUCAUCGAAUCUUUGAACGCACAUUGCGCCCGCCAGUAUUCUGGCGGGCAUGCCUGUCCGAGCGUCAUUUCAACCCUCGAACCCCUCCGGGGGUCCGGCGUUGGGGAUCGGGAACCCCUAAGACGGGAUCCCGGCCCCGAAAUACAGUGGCGGUCUCGCCGCAGCCUCUCAUGCGCAGUAGUUUGCACAACUCGCACCGGGAGCGCGGCGCGUCCACGUCCGUAAAACACCCAACUUCUGAAAUGUUGACCUCGGAUCAGGUAGGAAUACCCGCUGAACUUAAGCAUAUCAAUAGGGAGGA
rnacentral:misc_RNA from 1 species